rnacentral:rRNA from 1 species
ACGGAAGGCAGCAGUGAGGAAUAUUGGUCAAUGGACGCAAGUCUGAACCAGCCAUGCCGCGUGCAGGAAUAAGGCCCUAUGGGUCGUAAACUGCUUUUGUGGUGGAGCAAUAAGUCGUACGUGUACGGCGAUGAGAGUACAUCACGAAUAAGCAUCGGCUAACUCCGUGCCAGCAGCCGCGGUAAUACGGAGGAUGCAAGCGUUAUCCGGAUUUAUUGGGUUUAAAGGGUGCGUAGGCUGUGGUCCAAGUCAGGGGUGAAAGCACGGAGCUCAACUCCGGAACUGCCUUUGAUACUGGAUUGCUGGAAUACGGAUGCCGUGGGAGGAAUGAGUAGUGUAGCGGUGAAAUGCAUAGAUAUUACUCAGAACACCGAUUGCGAAGGCAUCUCACGAAUCCGUCAUUGACGCUGAGGCACGAAAGCGUGGGGAUCAAACAGGAUUAGAUACCCUGGUA